CCUGCAGAAAGUGUUGAGAUUAGUAAAGCUCUGGUUUGUGUUUUACAGAUUCCAGCAGUUAAACUACAGCUGGCCUCAAGUCUUCCAGCAAACGAUUAUGUCUGCAACGCCUUCCGCAAUUCCUUUUAUUACCAGGUGCUACAAGAGUGUCUAAGUGAGCUGUUCGAUGCCAGACUGGCCCCUGAUUGGCUGGAAGGGAAGACACAAAGUGGAGCGGGCAGCAGCUCUGCUUUUAAUGGCCUCCUGCUGGAGAGGGUUCAGAAACCCAGCCAAGGGAUCCUGUCUGAGGACGUGAGUGCAGUUUAUUUAAUGAGACCUGUGGCUCGAUGUCCUGCUAGUUGUUGGCCGGUGAUUUGAGGGGCUUUAGGAUGAGCUAGGAACAUAGACUAUAUAUAUAAGUAUGAACAGCAUGAUAGGAGCUGUAAAGUAAUGCCACUACGUCUCUUACGCCCUCUGGUGGCUGGCUCCAGUAUGACUUUUAACCCCGCCUAUUUCCAUUUAACUGAAUGAGAGAUGGAGAAAUCUUUAAUCUAAAAUUACACAUCCCGGAUUUUAUUUUUGGGAAGUUGGGUUUUGUACGUUCUGUAAGCCCCCCUCCUGUGUUAAUAAAUAACCCCCAGUGUUUUUCUGUACA
rnacentral:lncRNA from 1 species